UACGGAGGGGGCUAGCGUUGUUCGGAAUUACCGGGCGUAAAGCGCACGUAGGCGGCUUUCUAAGUCGGGGGUGAAAUCCUGGAGCUCAACUCCAGAACUGCCUUCGAUACUGGAGAGCUUGAGUCCGGGAGAGGUGAGUGGAACUGCGAGUGUAGAGGUGAAAUUCGUAGAUAUUCGCAAGAACACCAGUGGCGAAGGCGGCUCACUGGCCCGGUACUGACGCUGAGGUGCGAAAGCUAGGGGAGCAAACAGG
rnacentral:rRNA from 1 species